rnacentral:rRNA from 2 species
GAUUGUAGUCUGCAACUCGACUACAUGAAGUCGGAAUCGCUAGUAAUCGUAGAUCAGCAAUGCUACGGUGAAUACGUUCCCGGGUCUUGUACUCACCGCCCGUCACACCAUGGGAGUUGAAUUCACCCUAAGCCGGGAAGCUAACCAGCAAUGGAGGCUACCGUCCACGGUGGAUUCAGCGACUGGGGUGAAGUCGUAACAAGGUAACCGUAGGAGAACCUGCGGUUGGAUCACCUCCUUU